rnacentral:lncRNA from 1 species
AUAUUGUUUAGUUUUGAUUUAAAUUGUUUAGCUUUAUAGUUUAACACCGUUGCAUCUUUGUGCUGCAUCUUCUUCUGUUUUGAGGCAUUGCUAUUGCUGUUACUGUUGCUUCUUCUACUUCUAUAUUUCUUCUUCUACUUCUUCUUUUACUUUAUUAUAAAUCUUGAAUUUAAUUUAUGGUAUCUUCUUCCUCUUGAUACUCUCUGCAAAAAAAAAAUAAACAUUUCAAAUCUAAUUAAAAUUUUGGUCAGAUAUAAUUUUGUAUUCCACCUAUGAUAUUAAUAAAAUUAUUUGCUCCAUCUUCCUCCAUGAAUGUAGGACAACGGCCAAACCAUGUAAAUCUUAGUGUACUCUUUGCAGGUCAU